GUUCAUAUUUUAAAGCCGAAAAGGACUUUUUUUACACCGUAGUGAGUUCUUGCCCACAAAUUGCUUUCUGUAACUUUUUUCAUUGAGUUGCACUUUUAAUUUGAACUUUAGGGGCUCUUUCUGCGUUUUAUUUGAUUGAUAAGCUAGGAAGAAGAAGACUACUCAUUGGAAGUUACUUAGGAAUGGCUUUGUCGAUGUAUCUUACAGCAUAUGCCAUCAGCUUCUCAGGUGAAGAUGUCAGUCGCAACUUAUUAAUCCUGGGUAUAUUAGGGUUAUGCACAUGGUUGUAAGUACAUAUCAGGAAGCUAGUGGUGCCGGUGCUGCUGCAAUGGAAGAGCUUGAGCUGCAAACUCGUGAGGUUUAUCGUAGUUCAUGUUUUAAAGUUUCUCAAGUAGUUUUCUUUCUGUAGAAUUUCUAUUAGAAAUGAAAGCAAUGUUGCUUUUGACCCAUGUAUUUAUCCGAUAUUGUAUUGUUCUUUAUGAAGAUUUUGGAAGGCAAGCCUCCAACUUAUGGAUGCUAAUACCAUUUCGUUGUAACUGUUGUAAUUUAAUUUUUUUUUUAAAAUAAAUGGACUAUU